rnacentral:rRNA from 1 species
AUUGAACGCUGGCGGCAGGCCUAACACAUGCAAGUCGAACGAGUGGCGGACGGGUGCGUAAUGUCUGGGAAACUGCCUGAUGGAGGGGGCUAACUACUGGAAACGGUAGCUAAUACCGCAUACCAUCGGAUGUGCCCAGCUGGGAUUAGCUUGUAGGUGGGUGAAAGGCUCACCAAGGCGACGAUCCCUAGCUGGUCUGAGAGGAUGACCAGCCACACUGUAACUGAGACACGGUCCAGACUCCUACGGGAGGCAGCAGUGGGGAAUAUUGCACAAUGGGCGCAAGCCUGAUGCAGCCAUGCCGCGUGUAUGAAGAAGGCCUUCGGGUUGUAAAGUACUUUCAGCGGGGAGGCGUUACCCGCAGAAGAAGCACCGGCUAACUCCGUGCCAGCAGCCGCGGUAAUAC